UUGGCCAUUUUGUCUAUAAGAGUAACACACUAGACACAGGAAUUAUUACACUAGUUAUGUAAAAAGAUUACUGGACAAAAACUUGAUUUUGUAACGUUAGAAGCCUGAGUGACCAAAUUACAGUUUAACGUUAGAAAUGUAACAGUAACAGCUUGCUAUCAUAGUUAACAUUUGGCUAACUUUAGCUUAAGUUUACUAACUUAACGUUAGCUAGGUCAGCUAACGUUAGCUGCUGGACCUAAAUUGAAGACGUGUAACGUUCACUUGAACAGUUAGCUAACGUUGUUGUGCCAAGCGGUUUUUAAGAUAGCAAACUGUAAACAUCAAGACUGUUCUGACAUUAACGGCUGGAAGUCUAUAUAUGGCCAGAACAUCCUCAGACAUGUGAAAUGUGGGGGUGAACGGUCAUCAUUGAGAAAUUCCUGCUGGCUCAUGGAAACUAUCAGCAUUCUACAGCAUCUCGCAGGUGAAGCUCCCUUGUAUGGCCAGUGGUCCGUACUGGGUCUGCAAGGGAUCGAGGUUCCUUCAGGGUGUGUUUGAUCUCCACUUGCUGCUUGCCUGUGACUAGAGGGUCUCGGCCUAGAUCUGGUGUAGAGAAGAGGGAGAAAAAUGCAGUCUGCAGGAUGUGCGCAUUCAAGUACUUCGUGAAGAUUCCAGUACUUUUCCCCCCGUCCUGGACCUCAAACGCCUCAGCAUCUUCACAUCUGCAUUGGUUAUAAAG